GGAUUCUUACAGUUUGAUUUGGCAGGUGUACUUGAAACUGAUCACAUUAAAGGAGGUUGGCUGUCGAGGGGCUACAAAUUCAUAUAUCCCAAGUUAAUCAACAUUUAUUCUGUUCUGUAAUUAAAGAUGAGAAAUACAAUGUUUUUACUGCUGUUUUCCAGGUGACAGCUGUUAUGCCUUCAAGAUCCAGCUAUAACAGGCUGAGGCAACUAAAAAGUUACGUGAGAAAAUAAAGCAUGAGGAGAAAGAUUGCAAGAGGACCAUAAAAUGAACACACGUGUAUUUGCUGACAUGACCAAGAAAUGCUGAGUAGCACCCUUUGAAGUCAGUGAGAACUAGUGAGUGCUUCAGCAAAAAAGAACCUCUGCCUCAUUUUGUGCAUCCUGUGAUGAAUCAGGGUUGUGUAGUAAAGGAGGCUGUUGUAUGUGGGAUCCCUUCCUCAUUUCUUGCAGGAGUUGGAAGGAUCUCUGAGCUGCAGAAUGAAACAUGGAGUAAAAAACAAAGCAGCCUUCCAGUAAAUGGUACUUUUUUGCUUUCUGGAGUAUUCACUAUGGCAAGUUAGAACAUCAAUACGUCUUCAAAAUCAC